GGACCCGCACAAGUAGUGGAGCAUGUGGUUUAAUUCGAAGAUACGCGCAGAACCUUACCAACACUUGACAUGUUCGUCGCGACUUUAAGAGAUUAAAGUUUUCGGUUCGGCCGGACGAAACACAGGUGCUGCAUGGCUGUCGUCAGCUCGUGUCGUGAGAUGUUGGGUUAAGUCCCGCAACGAGCGCAACCCUCACUUUUAGUUGCCAUCAUUAAGUUGGGCACUCUGAAAGAACUGCCAGUGAUAAGCUGGAGGAAGGUGGGGAUGACGUCAAGUCCUCAUGGCCCUUACGUGUUGGGCUACACACGUGCUACAAUGGUAUCUACAACAGGAAGCAAGACUGCGAAGUUAAGCAAAUCCCUAAAAGUGCGUCGUAGUCCGGAUUGGAGUCUGCAACUCGACUCCAUGAAGUCGGAAUCGCUAGUAAUCG
rnacentral:rRNA from 1 species